rnacentral:antisense_RNA from 1 species
AGAAUCUAGAUGCCAUAAAGGCAAGAACACACAGAAAGUUGAAAUGUAGGCCUUAAUAUUACUAUUAUAACAGUAAGUCUGAUAGAGGACACAGAGCAUUACAAUUCAAGGCUCUUGCUGACAAGUAAAACCAUUAGUCAAUAUAGCAUCAACAAUAGCAACAAAAGCAAAGCCUGAACUGGUAUAGAACCUCAAAUACUCCUGACAUCCAGUCAUAAUGUUCACUUUACAUUAACAGUAUCUGUGUUAUAAGACUUAAAAAUUUGAAGAGUAGCUCGGUGGAUGAGUUUGAAAGAAAGUACAUUUAAGUGCCAAGUAAUUUGAGUAUCAUCUGCCAAAAAAAUUAUUGAAAACUUUAAGGACUCCAAAGUAACAAUUCACUAAAGGUAAUUAAAAUGAAUUCAACAAGUAAGCAAAUCGUAAAUACAUUUUGAAAACAAUCACUUCGGUUUUAAAUUCAAACACUAGCAAAGCACACUAUCAGACGUGUCGUUGGCAUCCAAAAUAUUCAUUGAAAUCAAAAUGCAACCCCAGCAAUAGUCAUGGGGUAGAUUUUGGAAGAAGGUAGGAUUCUACCUCUUCACCAGUGAUUUGUGAUCCACUAUGACUCUGGCCAAAGUCACCACUUAUACCCAGUAGGCUUAGAGAACCGCUUGAGAUCAGUGCUGGCUAAAUCAGAGGCCAAGGUGUAAGUAGACUAGCCACUGAACAAUACAAAGGAAUGGAACGGGCUGAGUUUUAGUUUGCACCGCCACGUAUAGAGCACUGUAAGAGACUAUGAACGCAAGCGGAUGAGUCAAAUGUCCUUGAAAUGGCCUUAGAUACUUUUCUUUCUUUUAAUAGGUGAGGUUUCAAUGAUUUACAUCGACCAAGAACCCGCAGCCUCGGUCUCUCGAAUCGGAUCCGACAUCAUCCAACACUUCAGUGUUAGAAUUGCAAGCAUGCGCUCUCCCGACCUGGGCAGGCACUUCGAAAAAAUGAUGACUAAAGACACACGUGAAGUACCAAGCGAAACUCACGUCCUUAUGGGACAGUGACUCAUCACAGUCUAAUUCCAUCCUGGCCACCAAGCAAUAAUGCACAUUUCUAACUGGAAGUCAAGCAAACACCAACACUUUCACACUUGUGCCCAUUUCUGACGAGUUACGUCAAGUGGCAACCAACACUUCCACUUAGCCUUGCCUCAGCUUCGAGUGGCACAAGGUAGGACCAACCACACCCUACCAUAAUGCACCAAGUGUACCCUCGGGCAAAGCCCGCCAAGUAGCUAAAGCCCGCCAAAAAAAAAAUCACUGAAAGAAACCACUAGAGGGCAGGUCACAUGACUUCCGCCAUCUUAGACACAUUCAAGAGCAUGUGCCACCUCUCCAGGCUAACUCAGACAUGAAGCUGACAUGUGACACACAAAGCCCUUUGCGUUAUACCGCACCAAGAACUUGAGCCGCCAUCUUUUCCUGUACGACCUAAAUGUCCUAUAAUCCAUUGCUACACACCAGAACAAAGAUUGGGCUGUCGAGCCUCGGGUGGAGCCCCCGAGCCGCCAUUUUAUAGACUUCUGAGCAGCCCUUAAAGCCACGGGGGACCGCGCCAGGGGUCCAUAUGCACACACACCCUGCCCAAUCCCCACACCCACGCUGAGCCCUAUCCCCUAGUCCUCUGCGGCUUCCGCGCAACACCGCACACUAAUACGAGCACUCCUUGGCUUUCUACUUCCGGCUAGCACAACCCCGCAAAUGCUACCACAAAUCAAGGCGAAUCCCGCAACCCCGCACAUAUAAAGAAAGCCUUUAGCUAGCGCAGCGCAAUUGGUUGCUUUUAUCCAGUCCGCUGUGCUCCUCGGUGUCCUAAUUCUUGGCGUAACUGGCUCGAGAAUAGCCGUAUCACGCAGAAGCCAUAAUGGCGGACGCGGGCUCUCCACGCCCUGAACACCCACUCAGUUUAAGAGCAAAGUCGUUUUUCUAAGCCAUAGGUUCACUCACACAGCACCAAACGAUCAGCAGCAACAGUACACGCAAAUAAGAGGCAUAGAUAUUCCAGGUAGUGCAAUAACUCACAAAACCAUAUUUCCAUCCACCAAGCGCCCCGUUGGGCCGUGAAAAAAAAAAUUUAAAGCAGGUAUCCACAGCCCCGAUGGGCAAAAGAAAAAGAAAAAAAAAUAAUAACAGCAGGUAUCCGAGGCCCCGUUGGGCAUGGGAAAAAAAGACUAAACGCAGGUAUCCGAGGUCCCGAUGGACCGAGAAAGGUUUUUUUGUUUUUUUUUUUUUUUUUACAAAAAGCAGGUAUCCAUGGCCCCGAUGGGCUAAGGAGAAGAAAAAAAGAAUAAAAGCAGGUAUCCACAGCCCAGAUGGGCAAGUUUAGAAAAAAAAAUAAUAAGAAAAAAAAAGAAUGAAAAGGCAGGUAAGUAUCCAAAACCCCGUUGGGCAUGGAAUGGCGGGGAGGACACACAGGUAUCCGUGGCCCCGAUGGGCAAGAAUAUAUAAACAAUGAAAGAAAGGUAAGUCCACCAUACACACACAAGUAUCAACCAAAAGGCACAACAAAGAAAUAUUCCUUAAAAAUGAAAAAUUGACUGAAAAUAUUACAAAUAUCAAAAAGUAUGGAGGACAUGUCAAAAAAAAAAUCUUACCAGAACAUAUCAAAACGUCAAAAAUCUCGUGGAAUUUUGAUAUGUUUUCUUAAAUAAGCCAUAAGGCUUGGUGGUAGGGGAACUAAAAAUGUUCCCCCAAAGCUCCUUAGAUGGAGAGAAACCACGGAAGAACCGCACAUCCACGGGAAACGAGCAAACAUGGC